rfam:Tersicoccus phoenicis strain 1p05MA scaffold74_cov337_read201, whole genome shotgun sequence.
CGCAGCCCCUCGCGCGGCGUCAUCCUGUUGAACUCCCCCAGGACCGGAAGGUAGCAAGGGUAAACGGGCUCUGGCGGGUGUGCGAGGGGUCUCUACG